AGUGAACGCUGGCGGUAGGCCUAACACAUGCAAGUCGAACGGCAGCACAGUAAGAGCUUGCUCUUACGGGUGGCGAGUGGCGGACGGGUGAGGAAUACAUCGGAAUCUACUUUUUCGUGGGGGAUAACGUAGGGAAACUUACGCUAAUACCGCAUACGACCUACGGGUGAAAGCAGGGGAUCUUCGGACCUUGCGCGAUUGAAUGAGCCGAUGUCGGAUUAGCUAGUUGGCGGGGUAAAGGCCCACCAAGGCGACGAUCCGUAGCUGGUCUGAGAGGAUGAUCAGCCACACUGGAACUGAGACACGGUCCAGACUCCUACGGGAGGCAGCAGUGGGGAAUACUGGACAAUGGGCGCAAGCCUGAUCCAGCCAUACCGCGUGAGUGAAGAAGGCCUUCGGGUUGUAAAGCCCUUUUGUUGGGAAAGAAAAGCAGCAGGUUAAUACCCCGCUGUUCUGACGGUACCCAAAGAAUAAGCACCGGCUAACUUCGUG
rnacentral:rRNA from 1 species